UGCAUUAACUACUGUAAGUCGCUCUGGAUAAGAGCGUCUGCAAAUUGUAAAUG
rfam:Salmo salar isolate Sally breed double haploid chromosome ssa19, whole genome shotgun sequence.